rnacentral:rRNA from 1 species
UACGGAGGGUGCGAGCGUUGCUCGGAAUUACUGGGCGUAAAGGGUGCGUAGGCGGUUCGUUAAGUCUGUCGUGAAAUCCCCGGGCUCAACCUGGGAAUGGCGAUGGAUACUGGCGAGCUAGAGUGUGUCAGAGGAUGGUGGAAUUCCCGGUGUAGCGGCGAAAUGCGUAGAGAUCGGGAGGAACAUCAGUGGCGAAGGCGGCCAUCUGGGACAACACUGACGCUGAAGCACGAAAGCGUGGGGAGCAAACAGG